AAGAGGAAAUAAUUACACUCUGGUUUGGGAAUGAGUCAGAAUCCCAAGAUCUCUAAGUCAAAGAAGACACAAAAGGAUGUUUUCCCCGAGUUAAUUGGAGGCACGCUCUUAACUGCAGUCUGGAAGGCUUUCAUUGUCAUGACAUUUCUGCUUUUUGCUUGGAUCCAAGAAUCAACCACUCGUUUCUACUACAAAGCUGUGUAACUUUGGGU